rfam:Trametes cinnabarina, BRFM137, WGS project CCBP01000000 data, contig: scf184766
GGCCGCCUGGCGUAAUGGCAACGCGUCUGACUACGAAUCAGGAGAUUGCAGGUUCGACCCCUGCGGUGGUCA